UAGGGUUAUAGGCACCCGCCACCAUGCCCGGCUAAUAUUUUUGUAUUUUUAGUAGAGACGAGAUUUCACCAUGUUGGCCAGGCUGAUUUUGAACUCCUGACCUCAAGUGAUCCAUCCGCCUUAGCUUCCCAAAGUGCUGGGAUUACAGGCGUGAGCCACCAUGCCUGGCAAUUCUGUGUUCUUUAAACCACAUAUGUUGGUGCUUUUUUGUUCUAGCAGCUAAGUCCUCAUGUAAACCGAUACAGAGCAGCAGAGAUGGCAUCCCCCAGCUGGCCAUUUAUACUGAGUUUGAGCUCAUUUGUCCCGCAAGUUGACAAAACCAUUCCUAAAUGAGACCUGUGCUAUGGCAGCAGCAGUUUUUGUUUUGUUUUGUUUAGAGACAAGGACUCGCUCUGUCGCCCAGGCUGGGAUUACAGGCGUGAGCCCCUGUGCCAGCUGCUUCAUUGUUUUUGAUAUGGAGAUAUUGUUCCAGACUUCCUGGCACCUUGGAGCUUAAUCCAGGAAACUUGUCCAGGCUGUAACCAAAGACUUUGUGUUGAGAUAAGAGAAAUUUUAUUACUCUCUCAGAGUCGGAGCAAUUAACUAGAUAAUGAUUACAGCUGUAUACACGGAGAACAGAGAAGAGAUGGGUGCAGUGAGCCAGAAGCGAGAAGAUGAUGGUGGGCAGGAACUGGGGAAGGUGCUGGGGAGGAGAAAUGGGUGGAAUGAGACCCGGGAUUCCCUCCCAGGAACUGGGAUUGGAGGGUGAUGGUAGGGAGCAGUGCGGAAGGUCCAGGCAGUUUGCCAUGCCAGGCCCUAUCCAUGAGUGGCAAACUCAAAUGCCUACAAGGACCAUGCCAGAAAUAGGAGUAAGUGAAAUAGAUGGAAGACAAUAGGGGUUGGUGGGGACUUUGGUGAAGCAGAAAUGCAUGUCCCUAUGUCAAUUAGCUUUUGUUAUAUUAAAAAACACCCAAGGCCAGGUGCGGUGCCUCACCCCUGUAAUUCCCAGCACUUUGGGAGGCCAAGGCCGGUGGAUCACUGGAGGCCAGGAAUUUGAGACUAGCAUGGCCAACAUAGUGAAACCCCAUCUCUAUUAAAAAUACAAAAAUUAG
rnacentral:lncRNA from 1 species